GUGCACCACGCGAGAAUUUUUGACAAUGGGGGAAACCCUGAUCGAGCGACGCCGCGUGGAGGAUGAAGGUCUUCGGAUUGUAAACUCCUGUCAUUGGGGAACAAGGUGCAUACGUUAACUGCGUGUGUAUUGAUAGUACCCGAAGAGGAAGGGACGGCUAACUCUGUGCCAGCAGCCGCGGUAAUACAGAGGUCCCAAGCGUUGUUCGGAUUCAUUGGGCGUAAAGGGUGCGUAGGCGGCGCGGUAAGUCGGGUGUGAAAUCUCGGAGCUUAACUCCGAAACUGCAUUCGAUACUGCCGUGCUUGAGGACUGGAGAGGAGACUGGAAUUCACGGUGUAGCGGUGAAAUGCGUAGAUAUCGUAAGGAAGACCAGUGGCGAAGGCGGGUCUCUGGACAGUUCCUGACGCUGAGGCACGAAGGCCAGGGAGCAAACGGGAUUAGAUACCCCCGUAGU
rnacentral:rRNA from 1 species